AUUGAACGCUGGCGGCAGGCCUAACACAUGCAAGUCGAGCGGAGCGGCGGACGGGUGAGUAAUGCCUAGGAAUCUGCCUGGUAGUGGGUGAUAACGUCCGGAAACGGGCGCUAAUACCGCAUACUAUCAGAUGAGCCUAUGUCGGAUUAGCUAGUUGGUGGGGUAAGGGCCUACAAAGGCGCCGAUCCGUAACUGGUCUGAGGGGAUGAUCAGUCACCCUCGAACUUAGACACGGUCCAGACUCCUACGGUAGGCAGCAGUGGGGAAUAGGGGACAAUGGGCGAAAGCCUGAUCCAGCCAUGCCGCGUGUGUGAAGAAGGUCUUCGGAUUGUAAAGCACUUUAAGUUGUGAGGCGUUACCAACAGAAUAAGCACCGGCUAACUUCGUGCCAGCAGCCGCGGUAAUUC
rnacentral:rRNA from 1 species